AGAUCAGCUUAGUUGGUCAGAGCAUAGUGCUAAUAACACUGAGACUGUGGGUUCAAAUCUCAUAUGGGCCA